UACCAGCGCCCCGAGUGGUCGGGACGAUUAUUGGGCCUAAAGCAUCCGUAGCCGGUUCUACAAGUCUUCCGUUAAAUCCACCUGCUCAACAGUUGGGCUGCGGAGGAUACUAUAGAGCUAGGAGGCGGGAGAGGCAAGCGGUACUUAGUGGGUAGGGGUAAAAUCCGUUGAUCCAUUGAAGACCACCAGUGGCGAAGGCGGCUUGCCAGAACGCACUCGACGGUGAGGGAUGAAAGCUGGGGGAGCAAACCGG
rnacentral:rRNA from 1 species